rnacentral:snRNA from 1 species
AGCUUUGCGUAGUGUCAGUAUCUUAGCGAAUGAGGUUUAUCCGAGGCACAGUUACUGCUGAUUGAAAAUUUCUCUGAACCUGAAUGAUUCUUUCUAUUUCCUUUGCAUAAUAUUGUAACACUGAUCUGUGUGCUAUCUUUCAACUUUCUCCAUUGGAUCUCUUAAAUUCCUGGACAUCUUUUUCCUUCCAUUUUGAGA